GCCUUUAUAGCUUAAUUAGUAGAGCAUUUAUCGUGUGGGUUUAAUUCCUACUAAAGGCA
rnacentral:tRNA from 1 species